rnacentral:rRNA from 1 species
GAUAAACGCUGGCGGCGCACAUAAGACAUGCAAGUCGAACGGAAGUCGUUAUAAAAAGGAAAGAAGAUUUAUCCGAUUGAAUUUUUAUAACAAUGGCUUUAGUGGCGGACUGGUGAGUAACGCGUGGGUAACCUGCCUUACACUGGGGGACAACAGUUAGAAAUGACUGCUAAUACCGCAUAAGCGCACAGUACCGCAUGGUACAGUGUGAAAAACUCCGGUGGUGUGAGAUGGACCCGCGUCUGAUUAGCUGGUUGGUGGGGUAACGGCCUACCAAGGCGACGAUCAGUAGCCGACCUGAGAGGGUGACCGGCCACAUUGGGACUGAGACACGGCCCAA